rnacentral:ncRNA from 2 species
AAGUUACGACAGGGGAGCGCCGCCGCGAGGUGGGCGCUGAGAGUGCGGAUAACCGCAGACCCUCGAACCUGAUCCGGUUAGUACCGGCGAAGGGAGUCGAGCGCUCUUCGGC